rnacentral:lncRNA from 12 species
CCGAGCCUUAAUUUAUUAAUGGGGCUGCCUUGCUGGCUUCAAGCACACCUCAGCCACAUCCUCUGACAUCUCCCACCGUUCAUGGGAAGAGAACUUUCUGCAUUGUGACAAAACCCAGGGCUGCACGGGUGCCACGGGCCGGGCAGGGACUGUCAGUGAGGAGACCAUAAUAGGAGAGUUUAUGGUGUGCUGCCACACUCAGCCUCACCCUGCGAGGCUGAGGCUGCACGGGUGCCACGGGCCGGGCAGGGACUGUCAGUGAGGAGACCAUAAUAGGAGAGUUUAUGGUGUGCUGCCACACUCCCAGCCACAGAGCUGGGUCACCAGAGCUGGCUGCUGCAGAGGGCUCACUGGGUUUGGGCCAUGGAGCUGCCUCUGGAAAACAACAGCUGGAACCAGAGAGGAGGGUGAACCACAGGGAGGAAGAAGGUCCUAAACAUCCUGCUUGCGAACUUGGCAGAGGGAGACAAGGCAGUGCAGCUCAGCAGAACACCAAAAUUCAGCUGGUGUUUUCAGAGAACAGCACGUCAGAGCAGAUUGAUCAAGGAAAUGAGUUUCACUCGAUGUGUUACCAGGGAAAAGAGGGAAUGGAGCACUGCAUGGGUGGACUGGAUGAAAAGGGG